CAAAAUAGUAUAUGUAUCAAGGGAGGGCGAAUAUAUAUAUAUAUUUAUAAUAAGUCGAUGUGUAUAUUACAGACGCACAGGUUUACACUUGGUGAACUUUUUCUUUUUUGCGAAAAACUAGUAACAUUGCGGAGGACUCUUCCGCUCUCUCUUCGGGCGCGUUAGGGAAGGGGUAUUCUGUUUCCUUGGAGCGCCCAAGGGGGCGCAGGGACCUCGGAGAGAAGAGUGGGGAGGAAAGAGGGAGGUGGGUGGGGGGCCGAGGGCGAGUCGGCGCCGAGGGCCAGCGCUUUCUGGCCGCACGAUGCCGUCCCUGCUGGUGCUCACUUUCUCCGCGUGCGCCCUGCUUGGCUGGGCGUCGCUGGCCGGCGGCGCGGGUGGCGGUGGCGGGGGCGCGGGCCCCGGCGGCGGGCGCCGGGAGCGAGAGGCGCUCCCGCCGCAGAAGAUCGAGGUGCUGGUGCUGUUGCCCCGGGACGACUCGUACUUGUUCUCGCUGGCCCGGGUGCGGCCGGCCAUCGAGUAUGCGCUGCGCAGCGUGGAGGGCAACGGCACCGGCAGGCGGCUUCUGCCGCCCGGCACUCGCUUCCAGGUGGCCUACGAGGACUCGGACUGCGGCAACCGCGCGCUCUUCACCCUGGUGGACCGCGUGGCGGCGGCGCGGGGCGCCAAGCCCGACCUCAUCCUGGGGCCGGUGUGCGAGUACGCCGCGGCGCCGGUGGCCCGGCUAGCGUCGCACUGGGACCUGCCCAUGCUGUCUGCCGGGGCGCUGGCCGCCGGCUUCCAGCAUAAGGACUCUGAGUACUCGCAUCUCACGCGCGUGGCACCCGCCUACGCCAAGAUGGGCGAGAUGAUGCUAGCCCUGUUCCGCCACCACCACUGGAGCCGCGCCGCGCUGGUCUACAGCGACGACAAGCUGGAGCGGAACUGCUACUUCACCCUCGAGGGGGUCCACGAGGUCUUCCAGGAGGAGGGCUUGCACACGUCCGCCUACAAUUUCGACGAGACCAAAGAUCUGGAUCUGGACGACAUCGUGCGUUACAUCCAGGCGAGUGAGCGAGUGGUGAUCAUGUGUGCGAGCGGUGACACAGUGCGGAGCAUCAUGCUGGCGGCACACAGGCACGGCAUGACGGGUGGAGACUACGCCUUCUUCAACAUCGAGCUCUUCAACAGCUCUUCCUACGGAGAUGGCUCGUGGAAGAGAGGAGACGAUUAUGACUCUGAAGCCAAGCAGGCGUACUCGUGCCUCCAGACGGUCACUCUACUGAGGACGGUGAAACCUGAGUUCGAGAAGUUCUCCCUGGAGGUGAAAAGUUCUGUCGAGAAGCAAGGACUCAAUGAGGAAGAUUACGUGAACAUGUUUGUUGAAGGAUUCCACGAUGCCAUCCUCCUCUACGUCCUGGCUUUACACGAAGUACUCAGAGCUGGUUACAGCAAGAAGGAUGGAGGGAAAAUUAUCCAGCAGACUUGGAACAGAACAUUUGAAGGUAUUGCCGGACAGGUGUCCAUAGACGCCAAUGGAGACCGAUACGGGGACUUCUCUGUGAUCGCCAUGACGGACACGGAGGCAGGAACCCAGGAGGUUAUCGGGGAUUACUUUGGAAAAGAAGGUCGUUUUGAAAUGCGGCCUAAUAUCAAAUAUCCCUGGGGUCCCUUGAAAUUGAGAAUAGAUGAGACCAGACUCGUGGAGCAUACGAACAGCUCUCCUUGCAAAUCAUCAGGUGGUCUAGAAGAAUCAGCGGUGACAGGCAUUGUUGUAGGGGCCCUACUGGGAGCUGGGUUGCUAAUGGCCUUCUACUUUUUCAGGAAGAAAUACAGAAUAACCAUUGAGAGGCGAAACCAGCAAGAAGAAAGUAACGUUGGAAAACAUCGGGAGUUACGAGAAGAUUCCAUCAGAUCCCAUUUUUCGGUGGCUUAAAAGAAGCUUAAUUUUUUUUUUCCCCUUUCUGCCUGAGGUUACUUAAGGAGAUAGCUGGGAUGAAAGACAUCAGUGGAACAGAAGGGGUGUUCUUGAAGCAUUCAUUCUUUUAAGCAGUCAUUUCAUUUUAAACAUUCUUUAGAAGCUCAGGAACUAUUAUUAAUCAUGAUCUGGCUCCCGGCCUUUCAUCUCAUGACAAACAAAUAUAAGGAUAUAAUGUCACUUUGCUAAGUGUUCAUACUGCUUCAAGGGCAUAUAAUUGGAUUUAUGUUUUAAAAUCUGAUGUCUCCAUAUCUUGAUGGCUCUUGGGGACAUUUCACACAAGGACAUAAAAUGUGGUUUUCCUACAUGAAAUGUUUUGUAGCUAGAAUAAAAUCAUUUUUACAAGUAGAAUAUUCUUGGGAAGAGUUUGACACCCAAUAAGAAGGAAAUGUAAUGAGAAAAUCCCAGGGUUGGGAAUACACCAUCACUCUCUCUAGAGCUGGCAGAGAGAUGGUUGAGGAUUGCUGUGUCCAAUGUCUGCAAUCAGGUUCUGACUUUGAAUCUGGAAAAGCAUUUUUUCCUUGUCUCCUUCAGUGUCUCAUAAGAGCUACUCUGAAAAGUUGUAAAUAUUAGUGAGGUAGGAAGAUUUAUACAAGAAAAGCAAAUCUGAAUUUUGUGUGUAAAAAAAAGCCCUAUUUCACACUAACACUUUUAUUUUUAACUAUCUUAAUCUUAUAUUUUGAUGUUAGAAAAUAUGUCUAUUUUUUCAGUUUGAAGAUUAAAUUUCACUUAUAUUUUAAAAGCAUGGGUCAAGUGUAUAACAAGCCAGUAAUGAUCAAAGAAAGAUGCUUUUCUUUUUCUCUGUUUCCUCCUUCUCCUGGUCAUAGCCAAAUGCCAAUUACUGCUUUAAUUACAGAGAUCUAAAGAUGUAUGUAGAUUGCAAACUCUAUAGGAGUACAUUCAUUUUUAAACCAUUUGCAUUUUGAACCAUUUAAAAUGCAAUCUGUUGCUGGGCUGCAUCCCUUCCAGUUCUGACCAAAUGGUGUUUCAAGAUCCAGAGUGAAAAGAGAUUAUAAUUAGGCAAAAUUUUAAAGGGAGGUAGCCCUUCCCCCUCAAGAAUAACUUAAGAAAGACUUAGAACUUGACAGAAGGAUGGAAUUGAUAAAAAAAAAAUGCAUGGCAUUUACCAGAAUUCACAAUGAUGAGUUUGGAUUUUUUUCCCUUUAAUAACACUCUUUUACUUUAAAAGUUUAUGGGGGGGGGUAAUCUAAGUACCUUCUAUGUGAGUAUUCAUUCUCAGUCUACUCUGCAGUUUUACAGGCAUCCACCAAUAACCUGUGUGACAGUGGGUUGGGUGUGGGUGUAAGGCAUUGGGAUGAUUUGUAGGGAUUUCCUGGAUAUCUGCUUUGCACCCAGUACUCUGCACAUAGGUUUAUUCUCAGGUUGUCACAUUCACCUACAGCUGUGGAGAAAACAGACAGCAAGGAAAGAAAGGGAAGUGUCAGGUAAGAGUGCUGUCCUGUAAUGUCAUUAGGUUAUUUCCUAGCAACAUUUUGAGCAUAUGAAAAGUAUUUUUGCAAAUGAUCUUAGUGUCUAUAAAAGACAGGGACAGAGGGGAGUUUAAGCACUUCCUUGGUGGUGAUGGAGGUUGUAACUCACACUGGUAACAGAAGAGGAAAAAGUGAGUGACAGCUCCAUAUUUUAAAUCUUGGCUAGCGAUUGCUUCCCCAGAGGGGUCUGCCUCUGUCCACAGCCAUCACAGUGAACUGAUGAUAUCUGCCUGAGGCACCUUUCCUCUCCAUUGUUUGAAAAAUGGGAUGCAGGAUGCAGGCAUGACAGAAUGGAAAGGCAGGGUAGAAGAAUUAACUGCGAGGAACUGAAACAAUGUUGCAGUCCGUCCUGCUAGACAGAAAGAGAAGAGUGCUGGAUUCAAAUAAGGAUGGAAAAAGAAGGCAAGAAAGACAGGCGCAAAAAAUUCUAAUGGAGGAAGAGGGUUUGAAAAUAAGACCCAGGACAGCAAAACAUUUGACAGCUUGGGACUCCCCCAGGUGAGAAGAGAAUGGAAAGAGUGCUCUAUUCUCAGUCACAGGAAUUGGAGAGCUUAUUUCUCUCAUUCAAAUUUUUCAUGAUGUUUUCUUAUCCUCUAGAGAUAAUAAUUUUCUAUUAUUUUGUGUUGGUAAAAAACACAUUUUGAGCCUGUAUUUGUAUUUUCGGGGGGUGGGAAUACUGUCUACCUGGCUUCAGUCUUUGGGUUCUGAACGUGUCCAGUCUUUCUAGAAUUUACAUAAUAGUCCAUCAGCAGUUUUAGAGAAAAUAUCUUUUAUUUCUACUGCAGGUAGAAGAAUAAUUAUAUGUAUAUAUUUUUAAAGAUUUAUUUAUUUUUCACUUGAGAGUCAGAGUUACACAGAGAGAGAAGGAGAGGCAGAGAGAGAAAGAGAGAGAGAGAGAGAGGUCUUCCAUCUGCUGGUUCAUUCCCCAAUUGGUGGCAAUUGCCAAUUUGAAGCCAGGAGCCAGGAGCUUCCUCCGGGUCUCCCAUAUGGGUGCAGGGGCCCAAGGACUUGGGCCAUCUUCUACUGCUUUCCCAGGCCAUAGUAGAGAGCUGGAUUGGAAAUGGAGCAGCUGGGACUAGAACUGGUGCCCAUAUGGGUUGCUGAUGCUUCAGGCCAGAGUGUUAACCUGCUGUGCCACAGUGCCAGCCCAGAAGAAUAAUUAUAAACUUAUUAUAUCCCUGAAUAAGAUCUUGAAGAUAAAUGAGGAUUUAGUAUUUAAAAAAAAUGGCAACACAAAUCACAAAGUUUCUGGUAUGAGGAUGCCAUUCUUUUCCAAUUUAAAAAGCAAAUUCUGCUGUUUUUAAAGAUUUAUUUGUAUGUCUGUUGUCUAUUAUUUGUUCCCUGAAAUCUUCAUAUGAAUUACCAAAACUCCAUUAAGUUUUGAAAACUCCAUAAAGUUGGAUAAAUCUCUCCAAAAAAAAAAUAGGUGUCAAGCAUAAGUUGACUUAGGUUAAGACUUCUUAACCCAGAUUGUAUUUUGCAAUUUAAGUUUCCAACUGCUAAGUAACAUCUUUGGCAAAUAGUCAUUCAUAUUCUGCCAGUAGCCACAUAUCAUAUAGUAAAAUAAAUUGGGCUUUAGUUUUUAAAAUCAUUUCUAUAAUUUUUUUACCCUGAAAUCUAGGAUAUUCAAAUUUCAAAAGGCUAUUUUAUCUGUAUUUUCUCAAAUACUGUCAAACAAACUUACGUUGAAACAGACCCAAAGGGGUGUGUACUCUUUUGGUGUGGAAAUAAGUAUCGGUUUUAUGGUUGUCAUUGUCUUUUUGGAUUCAGAGGGGACAAAGAGGAACUCAGAAAUAAAAGGUUCACCUAGAUGGUAACUUCCAUCUGGAAAGAACUUUCCCUACAGAGUUCAUGUCUUCCUUUAGCCUGGGCACAGAUUUUGUGAGGAAACCCCUAUAAACAUUACAUUUCUCUGAAGAACCAUCAACUUCCUGAACCUCAGACAUGGUUCCACAGGCCUUACAUCUUUACUUUUCAGAAGCUGUAUUUAAUAGAGAGAGAAGAGAAAUGUUUGAAAAGAGAAUGCCUCUCUCUCCUCUCAAAUUCAAAGCCUUUGCUUGGUGAUGCCAAUCACUUCUCCCUCUUCACAGGCUUCCAGAAUCAUUAAUUUACUCAAAGCACAGGUGCCUUCCUUGUCCCUAACUAACCACUUUCCUUCUGGUUGUGGCUGACUUGGGGGUGCCUACAGCUUACAGUAAGUAGUGAAAUUAAGGUCAUUGUAUAGGCCACAUCCAGACAGUGGCAGGGGUUCAGAGCAGGUUCCAGUGGCUUCACCACCUCCUUGUAAGUGAGUAAACACUAGCUAUUUGUGGGAGUCUUCUCAGGAGACCACAUGGAAUAUUACGCCACUGGUUUUAAGAAUGAGUCCAUCAACGGGAAGGAAUGAGUACCUGUAUGUCUUGGGAGACGGAGUACUCAGAUCUUGACUGUAUACAACCACCAAGACAAAUGCCAACUGAAACCAGGCCUCUGGAUCUAUGUUUCAUGGGUUUUAUUCAGUAACACCCUGUGGUUCAGGGCUUCAUGAGGAAACUGGUAAUGAGCUGAAUUUCCUGAUGGGUAGGGAAAACAGAAACUGUCUAAGAGCACAGCAUAUGUUUUAAAGCAGAGAGAAUGGAGAUGAUGGUGCUCAGGGGGACUAGUUUACUUUUCAGUUGGUCUUUAGAACAGAAGAAUAGCUAAUAGUUUAGUUCCUCUACUACAGAGAGUCUCAGCAAGAAGCUUGGGACGUGCCAAGUGAGAAGAAUCAGGAGCUUGGUUCUUCAAAAGAAAGAGAAGAGGGUAGCUUUGCAGGCUACUUCUGUUUUUACCCCUUCCUCCCAUCACCAGCAUCCACCCUGCAUCAUACCUUCAGUGGUGGACAGCAUCUUGCUCAGGCAGGUGGAAGCUUGUGAGCAGGCAAAAAAGAUGGAACAGCGCUGGCUUUAAGAAGGUAGCUGGCUUUGAGUCGGCAGCCUUGCAUCAGCUAGACCACACAUGCUCUCUGGACAGUGUGAGCCUGGGAUGUGCAUAUACUCCAACAAGCCUGGCUUUGGUUUUCAGCGUGCAGAUUUCAAAAUUGUCUCUUGUGGGAUUAAAACAACAUUUGAAAGGUGCUGGGUUGGAAUUUGUUCAAAUUUCUCAUUAACCACUAAUGUUAAUUCAUACCAAAGGUAAAUCACUCCAAACCAGCGGAUGCUGUUCAUGUCUGUGUUUUAAGCUACUUUAAACACAAUGAAAGGGUUUUAAUGGAACUGAGUCUUAGACGUAAGAAUCCUUGUGCUGUGAGAGCUCUUUGAGGUGUCAGGUGUCAGGCAAGAGAUUUAAACAAGCAGAAUCAGGAGUUAGCAAAAAUGCUGCAUUGUUUUGAUUCACGUUUAGAAACCUAAAUUUCUAUGCACAAGGAAUAAAGGGUCCACGUAUCAAGUGUAAAUCACUCCAUAGGCUACCAAAUUAUUUUUUAUUUGCUAGGAGAACAAAGCUGUCAUAACACAUAAAAAUCGGGCAGAGACUGCUGAGAAAGAGGAAUAUUUGCAUUUUGAAACAGGAUGUCGUAUUCGUUGUUGAACACGAAGAUCUGAAAAUCUUUACAAGAUGGGAAUGAUGUGCCCCUCCCAGCGUGGGGCUGCUGUGUAGGGUCCUGGGAAUCUGAGCUUUGUUCCCUGUGCAUGGAGGAUCACUGAAGCCAAGAGGUCAUGGGAUACACACUAUGGAGGGUCAGUUCUGCAGCCCUUGUCUUCUGGGCCAUACUAUUCAUUGUUAGUUUAAACAUAGGACUACCAAGCAAUACAAACUGACUAUGAGUUUAGUAGGGAAGUGAGAGUAAAAUCUGCACAAGCUGCAUACAGUUUAUUAUUCUAAUGUAAGUAGAACUAUCUGCAUAUAAUGUGAUUUAAUUUAUUGUCAUUUUGUGUAGAAAUGAGAAUUAGUGACUGUGGAUAUAACCCCUGUUUUGUAUAAUAUAUUUUAUUUCUGGUGCAAACUGGUCAUUUAAAAGAUCUAAUUCAUUUGGUGUUUGGAUAUAAAUGUGUACGUGUUCUUGUAAAUGUUUCUAUUAAGCAAGAAUGCCACAUCCUUGGAGUAUAACAAUGUGUUCCCAUUAAAAAAAUACAUCCCACAGAAAACUUUUCCUGUUUAUAAUUCAACCAACAUACAUUGCACGUCUCCAUAUUCUCUGAGGACUUUCCGUUCUCCUAGACCUAGUGUAAGUAAAAGAUCAGUCAGUGGGCAUGAUGAAUUGCAGUAUUUGAAUGAUACCCUUGAAUGGGGCCAUGAAUUUCUGCUCAAAGAUGGGCAUUCGGUGUAGUGAGUAAGAUGCCAGUUAGGAUGCCUGUGUUCCAUAUUGGAGCACCCGGGCUUGAUACCCAGCCCUGGCAUCUGACCCCAACUUCUUGCUGAAUCAGUCCUUGGGAAGCAGCAAUGAUGGCUCCAGUACUCAUGUCCCAGCCACCCACAAGGGAGACUGGAUUGAGUUCCUGACUUCUGGCUUUGACCUGGCCCAAUUCUAGCUGUUGCAGGCAUUUGGGGAAUGAGCUAGUGGAUGGGAGCUCUGUCUGUCUGUUUGUGUCUCAUAUAAAUAGGUCAAAGAAAUGUUCCUGCUCAUAAAAGGGAAAUUUGUAGAAAGAAGAAAUUUUUUAACUGUUAUUAAAACAAGGGGCAAGGGGUUGGUGCUGUGUGAUGUAGCGGGUAAAACCGCUGCCUGCAGUGCCGGGAUUCCACAUGGGCACUGAUUCAAGUCCCAGCUGCUCCACUUCUUAUCCAGCUCUCUGCUAUGACCUGGGAAAGCAGAGGAAGAUGGCCCAAGUCCUUGGGCCUCUGCAUCUGUGUGGGAGACCCGGAAGAAGCUUCUGGCUCUUGGCUUCGGAUCAGCUCAGCUCCGGCUGUUGCAGCCAUUUGGGGAGUGAACCAGAAGAUGGAAGACUUCUCUCUCUGUCUCUUCCUCUCUCUGUAACUCUGCCUCUCAAAUAAACAAAUAAAUCUUCAAAACAAAACAAAACAAAAAACAAGAGGCAAACCUUGGCUUGGCAUGUAAGGGAAGAAGUCUUCAUGAAUAUUUUCUGUCAUUUUGAGUCUCCAAACUUGAGACCGCUGCACGCUGAGAGUUGUCCUCAUUGAUUCAUCACAUCCCUUGCUCACUUUAAAGAUGCCCUAAAUCAAAUUUGCCCCUCUAAUGAAAUCCCUACGUGCCAGUGUACUAAGAUUAGUCAGCCUUCAAUGCCUCCAGUUGCCUCUGGGCUGUGAAAGCUGCUCCACUUUGGGCUGGCAUUGUGGCACGGUGGGUUAAACUAUAGCUUGUGAUGCCAGGGUCCAUUAUUGGAGUGCGUAGUUUGAGUCCUUGCUGCUCUUCUUCUGAUCUAGUGUCUUGCUAAUUUGCCUUGGAAGAGAGGAUGAUGGUUCAAGAAGCUGGGCACCAGCCACCCAUGUGGGAUUUGGGAAAUGAACCAGUGCAUUGAAGGUCUUUCUUUCUCUCUGUCUCUCUGGUACUCUGCCUUUCAAAUAAACAAAUACAUAAAUCUUAAAAAAAAAGAAAGAUGCUUUGGGGCGGGCACUGUGGCUCAGCAGGUUAACGCCCUGGCCUGAAGUGCUGGCAUCCCAUAUGGGCACUGGUUCGAGUCCUGGCUGCUUCUUUUCCGAUCCAGCUCUCUUCUGUGGCCUGGGAUAGCAGUAGAAGAUGGCCCAAGUCCUUGGGCCCCUGCACCUGCGUGGGAGACUGGGAAAAAGCUCCUGGCUCCUGGCUUCAGGUCGGCACAGCUUUGGUUGUUGCGGCCAUCUGGGGAGUGAACCAUCGGAUGGAAGACCACUCUCUCUCUCUCUCUCUGCCUCUCCUCUCUCUGUGUAACUCUGACUUUUGAAUAAAUAAAUAAAUCUUAAGAAAAAAAGAAAGCUGCUUCACUAUCUGGGAAGUUACUUAUGGUCUAUUUGAAACCCAAGAAACACAUUGCUAUUUACAUGGUUCAAGCAGUGCUUCCCUGGUCCAGUCAUUUCCUGUCUUCUAUGUACAUGAUCUCUUCCUUUCCAUCACCUUCCACAUCCAAUCAGAUACCAUCCCUCUCUCCCACUCGAUUUUCACUGCCUUUAAGCAAGGUUUUCAUCAAUGUAGUUCCAAAUAAGCAGAGAGCAGCCUCCUGUCUCCUCUUAUUUCUAUGUUUUCUACUCAUUUCUCAGACCCACCAGUCUUCCUAAAACAUUGUGUUGAUAAUGUUACUCUCUUGCUCACCAACCUUUAAUGACUCCCAUUCCCUGAUUCCCCACAGGUCAGAUUCAAUACUCCAUGCCUGGUGGCCACAGCCUCUACCCGCAGUCCUUCUGUGUCUAUUUGUUAUUCACAAUUCCUUUGAUUCAGUUAAAUUGUGCUGAAUUUGACUUAUUCAAAGGAUCUAUUUGUUACUGCAAUAUCAUGACAGUGGAUUUAGUAACCAAGGUGGCUACUAAAGUGACCAGUGGGCAGGUAGCAUAUAAAGAGUGGAUACACUGCACAAAGGAAUGACUCACAUUACAGAUGGGACAGAACAAAAUAGCAUGAGAUUUCAUCAUGCUACUCAGAAAGCACACAAUUUAAAACUUAUCAGUGGCUUGUUUCUGGAAUAUUCCAUGUAAUGUUUUUCAACUAUGAUUGAUCUUGGGUAACUGAAGCCUCAGAAAGCAGAACUGCAGAUAAAGGGGACUGUGAUACAGGGGAAUUGUCACAAGCAUAAGUACUAAAGAGCGACAUUUAAGACAAUAAUGUUCUUUUCUGAGAUUACAACUGAUUUUAUGUAUGAGUUAUGAAAAUGUCUUUUCUCUUACAAAAUGAUAGUAAUAGUGGAUUUUUUCUCUAUAUCUUUAGUCGACCAAAUAAAAAGUCACCAAACUUCAAAAAAAUCUUUUUGACAGGAUUGAGAUUCAAGAAACCUGUAAAUUUGAUAUCAUUCUUUUAGUCUGUUGGAAUUAUAUAAUGUCUGCUUGCUUAUUCAUAAUAACAUGCUAUAUAUUCUUUUUUGAAAAAAUAUUGUUUUAUUUGAAAGGUAGAGUUAGAGAUAGUGAUGAGAAAGAGAGAGGGAGGGAGGGAGAGAGGGAGAGAGAGAGAGAGAGAGGAAUACAGAGAUCUUCCACCUGCUGGUUCAAUUCCCCAAAUGUCCACAAUGGCCAGGCAGGGUAGGGCCAGGCUGAAGCCAGGAGCAAGAAACUCCAUCCAUAUCUCCCACACAAGUGGCAGAGGCCCAAGUACUUGGAUAAUCUUCUGUUGCUUUCUCAGAUGCAUCAGCAGGGAGGUGGAUCAGAAGUGGAGCAGUUGGAACUCUAACUGGUGCUCAUAUGGGAUGCCAGUGUCAUGGGCGGGGCUUAACCAUUGUGCCACAAUGCGGGCUCUGAGACUCUAGCUUGUAUUCUGAACAUCAGGACUCAAGCUUUCCCCUUGUUUUGCAUCCCAGUGACUUAGAGAUAGUUGUUUGGUAAAUCCCUGUGUUACCCUGUGUAAAGGUAACACAGCCCAGCCUAGCUUCCUGAGUUUAUCUCCAUCCUCCUUGGAGAGAAUUCUCAUAUUCUGACUAUAGAUGAGUGACUAAGAAGUCAUCCUCAAGCCAGAACUAUUGGCAAAGGGAACAUCUGACAAAUAUACUGCACUUGAAAGAGUUUUAUAGCUGUUUCUCAAAACUGGUCCCCAACAUUGACUUCUACAUCUUAUAAACAGCUUCUAGGGGCUGGUGCUGUGGCGCAGGGGGUUAACACCCUGGCCUGAAGCGCCGGCAUCCCAUAUGCGUGCCAGUUCAAGACCUGGUUGUGGCACUUCUGAUCCAGCUCUCUGCUAUGGCCUGGGAAAGCAGUAGAAGAUGGCCCAAGUCCUUAGGCCCCUGCACCUAUGUGGGAGACCCGGAGGAAGCUCCUGGUUCCUGGCUUUGGAUCAGCACAGCUCUGGCCACUGUGGCCAAUUGGGGAGUGAACCAUCGCAUGGAAGACUUCUCUCUCUCUCUCUGCCUCUCCUCUCUCUGCUGUGUAACUCUGACUUUCAAAUAAAUAAAUCUUAAAAAAAUAAACAGCUUCCAAGUUGAAACCUCACUGUUGCUCAGGUCAUUAUGACAAUAACAAGAGUAAAUCCACUAGAGACUUUCACUUAGUGGAGCCUUCCAAACCAUGGCACCAUUUUUUUUUUUUUACUUAAGACUUUUCUGAACUUAGUUGUGUUGACUUAAGAGAAAAAGAAGAAAAACCCUUGACUCCAAAUCCCUGCAUAUCAGUGUGGAUGCUUUUUUGAAUUUUACUCUCAUUUCUACCCAUCCAAGGUCCUGUAUCUUCUGAUUUCAAAUAAGCAUUGGCUAAAAGCUACUCUUAGAUUUUUACUUAAGAAUUAAUUGGAAUUCUUGGGUUUGUCUGUAUUAUGUGAAAAAUGAACCAAACUGCUGCUAGUGAGCUGGAGCUGGCUCAUGCUGGCUUAUGGGAACAUAUGAUUGAAUUUUCAGGAAUUUUGUCAGGGGCUUGGUAAGUAAGUCAUUCUGAAGACACAAAAUUAUAAAAAUUUGCACUUAAAAAUAAAUUCUAUAAGAUAAUAAAUACUCAAAAACAUCACUUUCUAAUUAUUUAACUACAUUUUUCUUUUUUUUUUUUUUAUUUGACAGAGUUAGACAGUGAGAGAGAGAGACAGAGAGAAAGGUCUUCCAUUGGUUCACCCGCAAGUGGCUGCUAUGGCCGGUGCUGCGCCGAUCCAAAGCCAAGAGCCAGGUGCUUCCUCCUGGUCUCCCAUGCUGAUGCAGGGCCCAAGCACUUGGGCCAUCCUCCACUGCCUUCCCGGGUCACAGCACAGAGCUGGACUGGAAGAAGAUAACUACAUUUUUCAACUACUGGUGCUAUUGGGGUUAUUCCCGUUUGCUGCAUAUGUAUGGUGAAAAUGUUAUACCAGUUUUGAGAUUAGAUGAUUGUUUACAGUCCUUGUCUCUUCCAUUGAGGAACAGUGUUUUCUUCUUCAUACUAUUUGUCGAACUGUUUUACUUAGUGUAGGGUUAACUUUACUACCAUUAAAUAAACUGAAAAUAGAUCUUUGUUAAAAUUAAGAGUGGGAAUGGGAGAAGGAGGAGGAAGAAGGGUUGGAGCAUUCAUGGGUGGGAGGCAGGGUAAGGUGGGAAGUGUCACUAGGUUCCUAAAUAUAUAUAUGAAAUACAUGAAACUUGUAUGAUUUAAAUAAGAUUUAAAAAAGAAAAUACUAUACUGGGACUUCAAAAAGUUCAUGGGAACUUUACAUUUUGGAACCCAUCAGCGUUAACUAUACAACCCCUCUGUAGACCAGUGAUUCUCUUUUAAAAUCUCUUACGGGGUGAAUGUUUGGCUCAGCGGUUAAGAUGCUGCUUGGGAUGCCCAGAUCCUUUGACUGCCUGGUUUCAAGUCCUGACUCUGUUUCUGAUUCUGGCUUCCUGCUAAUCACACCCUGGAAUGCAUCGGGUGAUGACUUGAGUACUUGGGUCCCUGCCACCCACGUGGGAGACUUGGAUUGAGUUCUGGACAUUUGGCUUAGGCCUGGCUUAACCCUGGCUGUUGGGGGGCAUUUAGAGAGUGAACCUGCAGAUGAAAGCUCUCUCUCUGUUUCUGUUUCUCUGCUUUUCAAAUAAAAUUUAAAAAAUUAAAAUAAAUCUCUUAUGGAGCAAUUUUUUAAAAAGAUUUGUCCAUUUAUUUGAAAGGCAGAGUUACAGCGAGAGAAGGAGAGUUCGUCCAUCUGCUGGUUCACUCCCCAAAUGGCUGAAAUGGUCAGAGCUGGGCCCGUCUGAAACCAGGAGCUGGGAGCUUACUCCAGGUCUCUCAUGUGGGUGCAGGCGCCCAAGCAAUUUGGCCAUCCUCCGCUGCUUUCCCAGGCACAUCAUCAGGAAGCUGGAUCAAAAGUGAGGGCAGGCCGGCGCCACAGUUCACUAGGCUAAUCCUCCGCCUUGCGGCACCAGCACACCGGGUUCUAGUCCCGGUUGGGGUGCCGGAUUCUGUCCUGAUUGCCCCUCUUCCAGGCCAGCUCUCUGCUGUGGCCAGGGAGUGCAGUGGAGGAUGGCCCACCCUGCACGCCAUGGGAGACCAGGAUAAGUACCUGGCUCCUGCCAUCAGAUCAGUGCGGUGCGCCAGCCACAGCGCGCCAGCCGCGGCCAUUGGAGGGUGAACAAACGGCAAAGGAAGACCUUUCUCUCUGUCUCUCUCUCUCACUGUCCACUCUGCCUGUCCAAAAAAAAAAAAAAAAAAAAAAAAAAAGUGAGGGCAGCCCUUUCACUCUGUGUGUAAUUCUAUUUGUCAAAUUAAAAAAAAAAAAAAUGGGGCCAGUGCCGUAGCUCACUUGGUUAAUCCUCUGCCUGUGGCACUGGCAUCCCAUAUGGGCGCUGGGUUCUAGUCCCGGCUGCUCUUCUUCCAGUCCAGCUCUCUGCUGUGGCCCGGGAAGGCAGUGGAGGGUGGGCCCCUGCACCAGCAUGGAAGACGAGGAAGAAAUACCUGGCUCCUGGCUUUGGAUUGGCACAGUUCCAGCCAUAGUGGUCAUUUGGGGAGUGAACCAAUGGAAGGAAGACCUUUCUCUCUGUCUCUCUCUCACUGUCUAUAAUUCUGUCAAAUUAAAAAAAAAAAAAGAAGUUAGGCAGCUGGGACUCUACCCGGUGUUCUUAUGGGAUGCUGGUUUUAGUAAAAUGGUGCAGUCUUAUCUGUGGAACCAUCUACGCCCUGGACACCAUCCUAGGUUCUAGCACCCCCACUGCCAUUGCUGGAAGCCAGGUGACCACAUGGCCCAACCACAGCUGUCAGCUCCACCCCUACACUAAUGGGGCUCACUGCUCCUACUUCCCUGCCCACCCUCCGGCAAAGGUUUAACAGGAACUGUUCCUGAACACACGUGCGCUCUUUUGUUCUCUCUCUUACAUUCUUUUCCUCUUUCUUACCCUCUUGCCUUCUCCCUUUGUCCCAUUGGGCUUCCCUUACCCUACAAUAAACCUUUUCUCUAACUCCAGUGUUUGGUGUGUUUUGUGGUGGCCUCACACUGGUGCCGCAGGCUGUGGCUUCACCUGCCAUGCCACAGUGCUGGCCCCGUUGUUUUUUUAAUAUACUUGGUUUUGCUCUGUAUACUUAACAAAAUGGGUAGAAUAAUUGAGGAUAAACCAAUGGCUUGUUUUAUCUUCAGGGUAUUAUCUACAUGACCCAACUACUGCCCUCAGAGAACUGACAGCUUUUUCUCUGUAUCUUACUUGGCCAAGUAUGCUCAGUGUGUCCACGGGCAUCAUAUCUAUGCUUCCUGGAUGGUGUUUCAGCCUCUGUACACUAUUCCCUACCCAUCCUCUCACCACUCAAGCUUUAUCUUCUUUUCCACCAUGGUAACUCUGGUACCUUAUAAAUGUUUCCUCUAACAACCACCAUAUGUAGUAUUAAUAAUAGAGGGUUUGUCUACAUGCAAUGUUAUGCUAUGUAAAACAGGGCAGAGAAUAUUUCUCUAUGCCAAGCCAUGGACUUGAACAUUUAAAUUCCAAUGAUCUCUUGAAUUUUUAAAGUAUGAGUGAUGCUUUCUUAUACACAAAUUGAGGACUGGAAGUAGGCGAGAAAGGAAAAAUGAGUCUCCUCAAGACUGCAGUGACUCUGGAGGGUUGGAGGAGAGGGCUCACUGAGAUGUUCAGAUAAUUCUCCUCUUCACCAUUAUGACAUCAAAAUGGAUACCUGGCGGUAUUUAGCAUAAACCCUGCAAUCAAGGAAAGGUAACCUAGGUAUUUUUUCUAGCACUGGGUUCAUGUAACAUGUGGCAGAUACAGAGACCAGUCACCACUUACCUCCAUGGAUACCACUUUGCAUUGGUGAAGAAGAUUCCUGAUGUGACUCAGACUUCUCACCCGUGGCUUGUAAAAGCCAGGCUAACUCAGCGGCACUGAUGUCAAGUUUUGGCCACCAAAGCCUUUUUGCAUUAUUGGUUCCGGCUUCAAAGGAGAAGGAGCAAGGCCUGCUGAAAACAACUGGAAUCUUCUGAGUUUCUGAAAGCACAUAAGCUUCUUUGAUGGAGUUCUUGGCCCUGCCAUCCAAAAGCCAAAGGAGCUCAUUGAUUAAGCUGUCGGGUGACCAAGCUCUCUGUGAAUUCAGGUCAGACCAGAGGCGAUGGUUAAUAGCAAGCAGGGAUACAAACUGAAUGCUGCCCACAGGGUAAGGCAGAAAGAGCACCAGUGCCACCACCUGGAUGCAGGGAGAAUGAGGCACCACAUAGAAAAGCAAAGUCCCUGUGUGGCCGGAGUCUGGCUAAUUUCCAUUUAUUUUACUUUCCUUAUUGCAUCGGCUGGAUCUUCCAAUGCAAGAUCAGCCAGACGUGGUAAGAGUGAGCAUUCUUGCCUUGUUUCUGACAUGAGGGGUGGAAGCAUUCAGACUUUGUCAUUAUGUGUCAUGUCAGCCGUGGGAUUUUCAUAGGGCCAUUUCAUUUGCUUCUUUUUGUCCUACUUGUUGUUACCCUUGUGUUCUGCUGCUGCCUUCUUUUGCUUAAUUGAUUAGUCUUAAAUCAAGCUUAUGUUUUGUUGACUUAAUGGUCAACAAAUAAAUCUAAUCCCUGUUAUGCCAUCUGGUCAGAAAAUCAAUGAAAUUUUGAAGAAAGAGGAAAGAGCUUUCUACCACUUUGAAGGAGGGAAGGUCUUCAAAAAUUCAUGGAAAAUGUACAUUGUGGCCAGUGCCGCAGCUCACCUGGCUAAUCCUCCGCAUGCGGCACCGGCACCCCAGGUUCUAGUCCUGGUUGGGGCGCUGGAUUCUGUCCUGGUUGCUCCUCUUCCAGUCCAGCUCUCUGCUGUGGCCUGGGAGCUGUGGCCCAGGAGGGCAGUGGAGGAUGGCCCAAGUGCUUGGGCCCUGCACCCACAUGGGAGACCAGGAGGAAGCACCUGGCUCCUGGCUUCGGUUCGGCACAGUGCGCCGGCCGUAGCAGCCAUUUUGGGGGUGAACCAAAGGAAGGAAGACCUUUCUCUCUGUCUCUCUCUCUCACUGUUUAACUCUGCCUGUCAAAAAAAAAAUGUACAUUUUCUUGCACCAGAAUAAACUCAUACUAACUUGUUACAGUAUAUUGGCAGAGAAUCUAGUUUGGGGCCCUAAAAGGAUAAGACAUUAGUUUGAAACAUGUCCUUAUCAGGGCCCCAUGAAUUCUGCUUAAAUUGAAGCAAGAACAAAUGUCAACUGUAUAGUAAACCUUGGUUGAGAGAAUCAUAUUAUUGAUGCUUUAUGAAAAGUUUCUGAGGAUGGUGCUGCCCAGGAUUAAAAAAAGGAUAACUUGUUUUAAGAAGGGAUGAGACAAUACCAAAGAUAAAGCUCAUAGUAGCAGACAACCCACAUCAAUUUGCAAGGAAAAUAUCAAUGCUGUCUAUGCCCUAACUGAAGAAGACUGAUGGUUAAUAGCAGAAACAAUAGCCAGCACCACAGACACCUCAAUUCAUUUGACUCACAAAAUUUUUGCUGAAAUAUUAAGGUUGAGUAAAUUUUCUGCUUAUUGGGUGCCAAAACUGUUAUGCCCUGAUCAGUGGCAUACAAGAGCAGUUUCCAAUAGUAAUUUUAAACCAAUGGGAUCAAGAUCCUGAAGCAUUUAUUCAAAGCACUGUAAUAGGAUAUGAAAUAUGAGUUCACCAGUCUCAUCCUGAAGGCAAAACACCAUCAAAACAAUGGCUACCAAGAGGCAGAAAUGGCUUAGCAAAUGGGAGUCAGUCAAGAACAAAGAUCAUGGCACAUUUUGCUUGUUGGCUUUCUGGACAGCCAAAGAGUAGUAACCCUUACUGAUGAGAACAGGUUUCUUUGGUGAAAAUGAUCCAAAGCUUUAGCAGAAAAGUACCUGGGGAAACUCCAGCACAAAGUCCCUCUCCAUGACAAUGCUUCUACUCAGUCCUCUCGUUAAGCAAGGGCAAUAUUGCCAGAGUUUUGGUGGGCAGUCAAGAGGCAUCCACAAUGAAGUCCUGUUUCUAAGUUCUCUUUGUUUACCAGUGUUCAAAAAUCUUUUUGUAAAAAAAGAUUUAUUUUGUUUAUUUGAAAGGCAGAGUUACAGAGAGGGAGAAGGAGAGACACAGAGAGAGAUCUUCCAUCCUCUGGUUCACUCCCCAAAUGGCUGCAAUGGUUGGGGCUGAGUCAGGCCAAAGCCAGGAGCCAGGAAUUUCAUCCAGGUCUCCCACAUGGGUGCAGGGGCCCAGACACUUGAGCCAUCCUGCACUGCCUUCCCACUUGCAUUAGCAGGGAGCUAGUUCAGAAGUGGAGGAGCAGGGACUUGAACUGGUGCCCACAGGGGAUGCAGGCAUCACAGGCGGCAGCUUUACCCUCUGCAUCACAAUGCCAACCCCAAUCUUCAAAAAUCUGUAAGAGAGUCCAUUUUUCUUCCAUUAAUUAUGUAAAAAAGACUGCAUUGACAUAGUUCCAUUCCCAGUAGCCUAUGUUCUUUAGGGGUGGACAAAGUAGUUGGUAUUAUGACCUAAAAUGUGUCUUAAACUUGAGAGAACUCCUAUUGAGAAAAAAAGUAUGUAUGUAUUUUGAAAUUCCAUUUUCCCUCAAGCCCUUUGAAGUGCCCUUGCCUAUGAAGGCAUUUUAUAAAGCUCUAAUAUUUUCCAUGGUAUCAUCUCAGCAAUAAAUAGAUUAUUUGAACAGAAGGAUGAGCUACAAAAGAGGCCCAUAUAAAGAGACUUAUUAAGAAAAUAAUGACAUGCAGAGCUCUGAGGAAAGCACAGUAUUUGCAGUAGUGAUGGCUGAGCCAAAUGAGAAUUCAUAUGGAGAAGAGAAGGCUUGAUUCUGUAUCAUGUCAUUUACAAAAAUCCAAGGGAAUUGUAGACCUGAAUGUGAUAUGGAAAGCAAUGCAGAUUUUAGAACUUAAUACCAGAGGCAUUUUCAUUGUUAUCAGUGUAGAAAGCUAUCUGAAUAGGCACAGCACCAGUGGAAAACCAAGUAGCCAAUAAAUACAUGAAAAGUUGUUCCGCCUUGCUGGUAAUUAGGUAGAUGUAGUUCAAAACUACAAUGAAAUACACACAGACCAGGCUGGCAAAGAUGUACAACCCCAACAAUACACAUUUUAGAGAGGAGCAGAUCAACGGAGAGUGUCAUAUAUAACUGGUGGGAGUAUAAAUUGGUACAACUACUUUGGAAAAUUCUUAGUUUUUCUAUGAAGUUGAAGAUACAUAUACAUUAUGGCUCAACAAUUUUGCUCCUAGGUCUACACCCAAGAGAAAGGGGGUACACAUGUAUACCAAAAUGCAUUAAAAAAGUUAUUGUUCAUAACAUACUAAAUUCAGAAAUAGCCUAAAUGUUAUUCAAUAGUAAAAUGGAUACAUGAAAAAAAUUAUUGCAGUGUGUUCAAAUAAUGAAGAUUAUAAAGAAAUAUUUUGCCCAUUUUUCAGUUAGGUUUUCUGGAAUUCUUUUUUUUAAGAUUUUAUUUAUUUAUUUGAAAGGUAGAGUCACAGACAGUGAGAGGGAGUGACAGAGAGAAAGGUCUUCCAUCUGCUGGUUCACUCCCCAAAUGACUGCAACAGCUGGAGCUGCACCGAUUUUCUUCCCUGUCUCCCUUGCAGGUGCAGAGGCCCAAGGACUUGGGCCAUCUUCUACUGCUUUCCCAGGCCACAGCAGAGAGCUGGACUGGAAAAGGAGCAACCGGGACUAGAACUGACACCCAUAAGGGAUGCCGGUGCUGCAGGCGGAGGAUUAACCUGCACCAUGGCAUUGGCCCCUCUGGAAUUCUUUAAAUACCAUUCUAUGAUCAUUAUUGAUUGUAUUCUCCACAUUGUAUUAAAAAAAAAAAAAAGAUCAAUUGGGCCAGUGAUGUGGUGUAGCAGGUAAAGUUGCUGCCUGCAGUGCCGGCAUCCCACAUGGGCGCCAGUCCAAGUCCCAGCUGCUCCACUUCUGAUCCAAUUCUCUGCCAUGAUCUGCAAAAGCUGUAGAGGAUGGCCCAAAUUCUUGGGCCCCUGCACCAGCAUGGGAGACCCGGAGGAAGCUUCUGGCUCCUGGCUUUGGAUCAGCACAGCUCCUGCCUUGCAGCCAUCUGUGGAGUGAACCAGUGGUUGGAAGACCUCUCUCUCUCUCUCUCUCUUUCUCUCUCUCUCUGACUCUGCCUCUUUGUAACUCUGUCUUCAAACAAAUAAAUCUUACAAAAAAAUCAGGAAAAAAAGAUCAAUAAUUAGCAAGCCAAUUUACAUUAGAAAGUAGCUAUAAUAGUAUUAGAAAAUUCUUGCUCUCUAAUGACAUAUUUUUAAAAUGGUGAAUAAAGAUUGUGAAUGCACCAAAAUCUCAAAUAUGGAAUACAACAAAAGAAAGUACACUUAAAUAUUAACAGUAGUUACCUUUGUGAUGAUGUUUAUUUAUACAAAGAAUAUAUAUUUCUUUUAUAGUUAGAACAAUAGACAUUUAAAAAAUACCAACUCACAAGGUAGUCCAUGUAAAACUUAUUGAAAAUAAUGUAAAAAAAUCCAAGUCUGUACUUACUUUAUAGGAAUUAAUCUUGUUGAACCACGGUACUAAAGAACAGAAAUACAUAGCUGCUGGAAUUAUGGGGUCAUCCUACAGUUCAUACAUUUCAAAAAGAAAGAAAGAAAGAAAAAAGAAAGAAAGGAAGAGAGAGAGA